CCUACGGGAGGCUGCAGUGAGGAAUAUUGGUCAAUGGGCGCAAGCCUGAACCAGCCAAGUCGCGUGAGGGAUGACGGUCCUAUGGAUUGUAAACCUCUUUUGUCGGGGAGCAAGGCCCGCCACGUGUGGCGGGAAGGAGAGUACCCGAAGAAAAAGCAUCGGCUAACUCCGUGCCAGCAGCCGGGGUAAUACGGAGGAUGCGAGGGUUAUCCGGAUUUAUGGGGGUUAAAGGGUGCGCAGGCGGAAAAUCAAGUCAGCGGUAAAAUUGAGGGGCCCAACCUCUUCGAGCCGUUGAAACUGGUUGUCUUGAGUGAGCGUGAAGUAUGCGGAAUGCGUGGUGUAGCAGUGAAAUGCAUAGAUAUCACGCAGAACUCCGAUUGCGAAGGCAGCAUACCGGCGCUCAACUGACGCUCAUGCACGAAAGUGUGGGUAUCGAACAGGAUUAGAUACCCUUGUAGUC
rnacentral:rRNA from 1 species